ensembl:lncRNA
CCCCCCCUCUUUUCCCCUCCUAAUGAGAUCAUGUAAACUGCUGCCCUACCUACCCCCCUACCCCCCAAUGACAUGUAGAACCCUCUUUGCCUACUCCAACCCCCCUCCUUUUCCCGUCCCACUCUUAUCGCCAUGGUAACCCAUUGGUAUGAGCCUGUGUCUAAACAGGAAGCCUUGGUUAGUUUUAGCCCGUCUCCCAACCAAGCCCUACCCUGCUGCAGGGAGGAGGCAAGGGGAGGUGAGAUACGUCCCUACCCUGCUGCAGGGAGGAGGCAGGGGGAGGUGAGAUACGUCCCUACCCUGCUGCAGGGAGGAGGCAGGGGGAGGUGAGAUACGUCCCUACCCUGCUGCAGGGAGGAGGCAGGGGGAGGUGAGAUACGUCCCUACACUGCUGCAGGGAGGAGGCAGGGGGAGGUGAGAUACGUCCCUGCACUGCUGCAGGGAGGAGGCAGGGGGAGGUGAGAUACGUCCCUACACUGCUGCAGGGAGGAGGCAGGGGGAGGUGAGAUACGUCCCUGCACUGCUGCAGGGAGGAGGCAGGGGGAGGUGAGAUACGUCCCUGCCCUGCUGCAGGGGGAGGUGAGAUACGUCCCUGCCCUGCUGCAGGGGGAGGUGAGAUACGUCCCUACCCUGCUGCAGGGGGAGGUGAGAUACGUCCCUACCCUGCUGCAGGGGGAGGUGAGAUACGUCCCUACCCUGCUGCAGGGGGAGGUGAGAUACGUCCCUACCCUGCUGCAGGGAGGAGGUGAGAUACGUCCCUACCCUGCUGCAGGGAGGAGGUGAGAUACGUCCCUACCCUGCUGCAGGGAGGAGGUGAGAUACGUCCCUACCCUGCUGCAGGGAGGAGGUGAGAUACGUCCCUGCCCUUCGUUCCUUCUCACUGUUUUUGUUUUUCUUCAUUCGUCUUUUGUAUAAACUAGAAUCAUUUCACUGUUUUGCUACUGCUGUGGCAAUCACAGUUCUGUGUCGUACCGCUAGUAUGGGAUGGAACGUAAUUUAAUUUGACUGAGUACGUCACCAAAUCAUCGUCCCAUAUACAAACACACAAGCCAUGUGCUUACCAGCAAGUCAUUUAACAUGGGAGGUUCGUUUCCAGUCCUGCUUCUAUCUAUAUAUAUAUAUAGAGCGCGUGUAUACUUGGUGUAGAACUUUGCAUAUAUAUAAAUAUAAAAAACUUUAGUUUUUCUGUUUUUUGAUGUUGACUAUCUAUAAUGUCUCCUAGUAGUGAACACAUUUCUGACUGUGUAAUUGUACAUUUGUAAACCCUUGUAAUGUAAACGUGAUUUACCACCCUUUUUGGUAUCAGACGAUAUAUAUAUAUAUGUAUAUAUAUAUGUAUAUCUAUAUAUAAAAAAACAAAACGUUUAAAAAAAACUCUUAACUCUGUGCAUUUCGAUGCAUAUUCCCACCUCCUUGUUUGUGACAUAUGAGUUGUUGUAUAUUGUAAAUUGUAAUAUCAAAUUUUGGUUUUGAAAAUUCCUUUCUAUACUGCGUAGUACUUGUACAAAGCACCCCCCACCUCAACAGAACUCACCACCUUAACAACAGAACUCACCACCUCAACAACAGAACUCACCACCUCAACAACAGAACUCACCACCUCAACAACAGAACUCACCACCUCAACAACAGAACUCACCACCUCAACCCCAUCCACCGAACUACACUGCAAACGCUCCCUGUCCGUUUACUAAACGUCCAUUACGCCACAGUUACCACUGAAGUCAACGAGACGUGGUACACCAACAUGUCAGUAGUGAAGAGACUCUUUUAUUUUUUACACAAGUCUAUAUAAAUUACAGAGAGUGAGACAUGGCAUCUGACUGAAGCGUCAACAGCUGACAGUGACUCUGGGUUUCCGCCUGUUCUGUAGCAGUCAAAACAUUACAGCACACACGCUACAGAACACACGCUACAGAACACACGCUACAGAACACACGCUACAGAACACACGCUACAGAACACACGCUACAGAACACACGCUACAGAACACACGCUACAGAACACACGUUACAGAACACACGCUACAGAACACACGCUACAGAACACACGCUACAGAACACACGCUACAGAACACACCUUACAGAACACACGCUACAGAACACACGCUACAGAACACACCUUACAGAACACACGCUACAGAACACACCUUACAGAACACACCUUACAGAACACACGCUACAGAACACACGCUACAGAACACACGCUACAGAACACACGCUACAGAACACACGUUACAGAACACACGCUACAGAACACACGCUACAGAACACACGCUACAGAACACACCUACAGAACACACGCUACAGAACACACGCUACAGAACACACCUUACAGAGAACACACGCUACAGAACACACGCUACAGAACACACGCUACAGAACACACCUUACAGAACACACGUUACAGAACACACGCUACAGAACACACGCUACAGAACACACCUUACAGAACACACCUUACAGAACACACCUUACAGAACACACGCUACAGAACACACGCUACAGAACACAC